GUAUUUUAUUGACUUGGGCAAAAGCCCUUUCAAUGGUACAUUCAAAUACAUUCGAUGGAGUUUUUAAGAAAAAAAACAUAGGUCAACAGACCUACAACGGGUGCACAUGGUGUGAGAAGGGUCAGAAAUGGUUCGAGAAGUGCACGUGCGACGACAAGCCGCCAGCAACAUCCCCAAGCAUUUUUCAGUAAUGAUCCUUCCGCAGGUUCACCUACGGAAA
rnacentral:misc_RNA from 1 species